GUCCAGGGGCGGGAAUCGAACCCAGCCUAGUGGACAUGGCAUCUGCCCGGUAAGCGGAAGGUUGUGGGUUCGAUUCCCGCCCCUGGACA
rnacentral:tRNA from 1 species